AUGAGGACAGAUAGUCGUCUUCCCACGGAUUGUGUAGCGUGAGACAUAUGAUUAAAAGGAAAACUAGGUUAACAAUUAGCUUCAAGCUAAAAUCGUACUUUUCUCUGCACAUUUCAGAACUGCGCGUCAGAAGGAGGCAUCUGAAUGCAAGUAGCUACUUCGAGAUUGUUAUGCGUAUAUUCUUCCUUCCUAACUGUCCUUUAAACGGGACGAAUGACGAAUCGACAAAUAUCAGCUUUCCAGCCUGUGUUUCUGUGAUAACCCGCAACUUGAGCCGGAAUGGGAGGGAUCGCGUGACACAAAUUCAACCUUACUUUCACUUCAAUUGGGAUUGAAUUGGUCAAUUAGGAGCGGUUUAGCAUGCUCGCCCAUCUACUAUCUAUCCAUUCCAGCCUUCCCCUGGGGAGAAUUCGACAUUGGUCAAAGGUCCCUCGUUUUAUUGACCAACACCGAGUUGUUUGAUGUCUCAGCUUAUUAUAGAUCAAAUAAUUUUCUCAUUUUAUGUAAGACUAAUAUUAAUGGCGAUUCGUUCCAAAUUAAUAAAAGAAAUAAAAAUCUCAA